rnacentral:rRNA from 1 species
AUUAUGGAGAGUUUGAUCCUGGCUCAGAAUGAACGCUGGCGGCGUGCUUAACACAUGCAAGUCGAACGAUGAAGCCUAGCUUGCUAGGUGGAUUAGUGGCGCACGGGUGAGUAAUAUAUAGAUAACGUGCCUCUUAGUCUGGGAUAGCCAUUGGAAACGAUGAUUAAUACUAGAUACUCCUUCUCUUUAUAAUAAGAGUUGGGAAAGUUUUUCGCUAAGAGAUCGGUCUAUAUCCCAUCAGCUAGUUGGUAGUGUAAGAGACUACCAAGGCAAUGACGGGUAGCGGGUUUGAGAGGAUGAUCCGCCACACUGGUACUGAGACACGGACCAGACUCCUACGGGAGGCAGCAGUGAGGAAUAUUGCACAAUGGAGGAAACUCUGAUGCAGCAACGCCGCGUGGAGGAUGACGCAUUUCGGUGUGUAAACUCCUUUUAUAUGUCAAGAAAAUGACGGUAGCAUAUGAAUAAGCACCGGCUAACUCCGUGCCAGCAGCCGCGGUAAUACGGAGGGUGCAAGCGUUAUUCGGAAUCACUGGGCGUAAAGGACACGUAGGCGGGAAGCCAAGUCUGAUGUGAAAUCCUAUGGCUCAACCAUAGAACUGCAUUGGAAACUGGUUACCUAGAGUAUGGGAGGGGGAGAUGGAAUUAGUGGUGUAGGGGUAAAAUCCGUAGAUAUCACUAGGAAUACCUAAAGCGAAGGCGAUCUCCUGGAACAUUACUGACGCUAAGGUGUGAAAGCGUGGGGAGCAAACGGGAUUAGAUACCCCGGUAGUCCACGCCCUAAACGAUGUUCACUAGUCGUCGGGAUGCUAGUCAUCUCGGUGAUGCACUUAACAGAUUAAGUGAACCGCCUGGGGAGUACGGUCGCAAGAUUAAAA